GGGAUGAACGCUGGCGGCGUGCUUAACACAUGCAAGUCGAACGAUGAAGGCUGGAGCUUGCUCUGGCUGGAUUAGUGGCGAACGGGUGAGUAACACGUGAGUAACCUGCCCCAGACUCUGGGAUAAGCGCUGGAAACGGCGUCUAAUACCGGAUACGAGCUUCCACCGCAUGGUGAGGAGCUGGAAAGAAUUUCGGUCUGGGAUGGACUCGCGGCCUAUCAGCUUGUUGGUGAGGUAAUGGCUCACCAAGGCGACGACGGGUAGCCGGCCUGAGAGGGUGACCGGCCACACUGGGACUGAGACACGGCCCAGACUCCUACGGGAGCAGCAGUGGGGAAUAUUGCACAAUGGGCGCAAGCCUGAUCCAGCCAUACCGCGUGGGUGAAGAAGGCUUCGGGUG
rnacentral:rRNA from 1 species